rnacentral:rRNA from 1 species
CCUACGGGAGGCAGCAGUGAGGAAUAUUGGUCAAUGGUCGGGAGACUGAACCAGCCAAGCCGCGUGAGGGAUGAAGGUACAGAGUAUCGUAAACCUCUUUUGUCAGGGAACAAAGGCGGGGACGUGUCCCCUGCUGCGUGUACCUGACGAACAAGCAUCGGCUAACUCCGUGCCAGCAGCCGCGGUAAUACGGAGGAUGCGAGCGUUAUCCGGAUUUAUUGGGUUUAAAGGGUGCGCAGGCGGUCUGUUAAGUCAGCUGUCAAAGCCCGGGGCUCAACCCCGGCCCGGCCGUUGAACCUGGCAGUCUCGAGUUGGGGAGAAGGAGGCGGAAUGCGCGGUGUAGCGGUGAAAUGCAUAGAUAUCGCGAAGAACUCCGAUUGCGAAGGCAGCAUGCCGGAUCCACACUGACGCUGAGGCACGAAAGCGUGGGUAUCGAACAGGAUUAGAUACCCGAGUAGUC